CUUCAAGACUGCACACAGCACGCAGCAACAGAAAUUUUUCACUCCUUCAAUCUGGUGAAUAAAUCAAAAGAGUAACUAACAUCCUGACUCACUCAUCGUUUAAUGGAGUUUGUCUGACUGUUAACCUACGUACAUCAAACAGGUGGAGGACUGUACACACCUGUGGAGGAUGUAGAGGACCAUCUCUUUGCUUCCUGCACUGGCAGCGUGAUGACGUCACCUGCAGCCGGACGAGUGGAGUGACGUGAGGCCGGCUCCCUUCAGGUGCAGCUCCUGCAGCUGAUGAUUCAAUUCAAAGACACAUGGGCAGCCUGAACAAAACAAAGAGCUGUGAACAUGUCUGCUACACCACGCUGCCUCACCUGCUUCAUUCAACAUUUGGUGUUUCCUCGCUCUCUGAACCCUGAAGAGUAGAUCUGUGCUGCAGCUGGAAGGAUUUUCUUUGGAUUAAAGUUUAC